rnacentral:rRNA from 1 species
UCCGGUUGAUCCUGGCGGACCUGACUGCUAUCGGUAUGGGAUUAAGCCAUGCGAGUCGAACGUCUCCCGGCUGUGGGAGGCGUGGCACACGGCUCAGUAACACGUAGUCAACCUACCCUGAAGACACGGGCAAUCCCGGGAAACUGGGGCUAAUCCGUGACAGGUUUAGAGUUCUGGAAUGGCUCUAAGCUUAAAGGGUCAGGCGAGCAUGCUCGCCUGGUCGCUUCAGGACGGGACUGCGGCCGAUCAGGUUGUUGGUGGGGUAGUGGCCCACCAAGCCAGUAACCGGUGCGGGCUCUGAGAGGAGGGGCCCGGAGAUGGACACUGAGAUAAGGGUCCAGGCCCUACGGGGCGCAGCAGGCGCGAAACCUUUACACUGCACGAAAGUGCGAUAAGGCUAUACCGAGUGCCAUCCGCUGAGGGUGGCUUUUCCUAGGUCUAAAUAGCCUGGGGAAUAAGGGGAGGGCAAGCCUGGUGUCAGCCGCCGCGGUAAUACCAGCUCCCCGAGUGGUCAGGACGAUUAUUGGGCUUAAAGCAUCCGUAGCCGGCUUUGUAGGUCUCUUGUUAAAUCCAACGGCCCAACCGUUGGAACGCAGGGGAUACCGCGGAGCUAGGGGGCGGGAGAGGCGGACGGUACUCCAUAGGUAGGGGUAAAAUCCUUUGAUCUAUGGAAGACCACCAGUGGCGAAGGCGGUCCGCUAGAACGCGCCCGACGGUGAGGGAUGAAAGCUGGGGGAGCGAACCGGAUUAGAUACCCGGGUAGUCCCAGCUGUAAACGAUGCAGGCUAGGUGAUAGGGAGGCUACGCGCCUCCCUAGUGCCGCAGGGAAACCGAUAAGCCUGCCGCCUGGGGAGUACGAUCGCAAGGUUGAAACUUAAAGGAAUUGGCGGGGGAGCACCACAAGGGGUGAAGCCUGCGGUUCAAUUGGAGUCAACGCCGGGAACCUUACCAAGGGUGACAGCAGAAUGAAGGUCACGCUAAAGACAUUACCAGACAAGCUGAGAGGAGGUGCAUGGCCGUCGCCAGCUCGUGCCGUGAGGCGUCCUGUUAAGUCAGGAAACGAGCGAGACCCCUACCUUCAGUUGCUACCGUUACCCGAAAGGAUGGCGGGGCUAAUUGAAGGGACCGCUACCGCUAAGGUGGAGGAAGGAGGGGGCCACGGCAGGUCAGUAUGCCCCGAAACCCUUGGGCCACACGCGGGCUGCAAUGAUAGGUACAGCGGGUUCCGACCCCGAAAGGGGAAGGCAAUCCUUCAAACCCUAUCUCAGUUAUGAUUGAGGGCUGCAACCCGCCCUCAUGAAUCUGGAAUCCCUAGUAACCGCGCGUCAACACCGCGCGGUGAAUACGUCCCUGCUCCUUGCACACACCGCCCGUCGUUCCAUCCGAGUUGGCUCAGGACGAGGUGGCGUCAAGUUGGCGCCAUCGAAUCUUAGGUCGGUGAGGAGGGAAAAGUCGUAACAAGGUAACCGUA